AGAGUUUGAUCCUGGCUCAGAUUGAACGCUGGCGGCAGGCUUAACACAUGCAAGUCGAGCGGGGAGAUGUAGCUUGCUACAUUACCUAGCGGCGGACGGGUGAGUAAUGCUUAGGAAUCUGCCUAUUAGUGGGGGACAACAUUCCGAAAGGAAUGCUAAUACCGCAUACGCCCUACGGGGGAAAGCAGGGGAUCUUCGGACCUUGCGCUAAUAGAUGAGCCUAAGUCAGAUUAGCUAGUUGGUGGGGUAAAGGCCUACCAAGGCGACGAUCUGUAGCGGGUCUGAGAGGAUGAUCCGCCACACUGGGACUGAGACACGGCCCAGACUCCUACGGGAGGCAGCAGUGGGGAAUAUUGGACAAUGGGCGCAAGCCUGAUCCAGCCAUGCCGCGUGUGUGAAGAAGGCCUUUUGGUUGUAAAGCACUUUAAGCGAGGAGGAGGCUACUUGGAUUAAUACUCUAGGAUAGUGGACGUUACUCGCAGAAUAAGCACCGGCUAACUCUGUGCCAGCAGCCGCGGUAAUACAGAGGGUGCGAGCGUUAAUCGGAUUUACUGGGCGUAAAGCGUGCGUAGGCGGCUUUUUAAGUCGGAUGUGAAAUCCCUGAGCUUAACUUAGGAAUUGCAUUCGAUACUGGGAAGCUAGAGUAUGGGAGAGGAUGGUAGAAUUCCAGGUGUAGCGGUGAAAUGCGUAGAGAUCUGGAGGAAUACCGAUGGCGAAGGCAGCCAUCUGGCCUAAUACUGACGCUGAGGUACGAAAGCAUGGGGAGCAAACAGGAUUAGAUACCCUGGUAGUCC
rnacentral:rRNA from 1 species